rnacentral:rRNA from 1 species
AUGUCGUCACCGUCUGCUGCCAUGCCCGUGGCUCCCUCACCAACAUCGCCACGUUUGGCUGCCACGGCCGCUAGUUCGGUAGACCCUGCAGCCAAUUCGGCUACCACGACAGCUGUUUCACCUGGUGUUUUGGCUGCCAUGACUGGCGUUUCUUCGCCUACUUCAGCUGCCACGGCGGCGCCGGUUGUUGAUGCGACCACCUUUGACAACGACCUCAGCGCCUCGACAUCCUCAUCAGCGCCCGCACCACAUGUUACUCAUGCCCUCCCAAUCGACUGCCCCCUUGUGCCCUUCCGGGUUCUGCCCUCCGGUCCUCAUCGGUUCCUCGAGCAGGGAAACUCGAAGUCGGCGUCCUGCCGUAUCAACUCCGCCGAUCCCCAUAGUCUUUCCGUCCGCCGCCAGGUCGGGUUAGGCCCUUCGCCGUCUCAGACCCCCUCUCCUCACCUUCGCUUUUCCUCGUCUCCGCCCCCGCGAGUAGGCGUCAUCAAGUCAUGGGCUGUGGCUUCAAUCCCCGGAUUUUUUGUUUGCAUGUGCUGUGCUGCUAUGAAGCAUUGCUUAGCAAACAAUGUUUUGGGAAUUUCUUCCCGUACCCAGAUGCGCCCUGCUUGCUUGGCUGUUUUACUUGCUCGAUUGCUCUAUAUGGGAUCCAUGCCACUCUUUUGCUGUUGCCGUUGCUGCAUCACUCAGCACAUAAUAAGGAUUUCUGCUUUUUGGUUCCAGGGUGGGGGGCAGCCUGCUCUACAAUACGUUGCUUGUGGCGUGAUUAGUUUUGUUAUUGUUCACUGUUUGUGGAAUGUAGAAGUAAAACAGGGUGACAACAAUCAGCCGAUGAGUGAAGUGUGGGAUUGGAACAUGUAUGGAACCAAACUGAAGUUUCAUGGAUGGUUUAUUAACACUGCCAAUGAGGAUGGUGACGGAGGUGAGGAUGGUGACGGAGGUGAGGAUGAUGCUUCAUUUGCCGCGGAGCAUUCCGAUGAUGAAGAUUUGACGGAGGUGUCAAUUUUACGUGCGGUGCAAGUGUUGGCCAUUCGUGCAAACUUUCGUAUUAGCCGUAUGGACGCCCAUGACUGGUACCAAAGUUUUGUCAUCUAUGUGGCGCUCGAGGGGGAAGUACAAGAGGAAGGAAAGGAUUUGGUACUCGCUGGACCAUGUGGGAUACUACAUGCUUACGGUGCCUUUUGCUUGGAGGUUUUCACAGAAGACCUGGUUUUCACAAAAGACGAUAAGGGGUCUUCUACUGAUGAUGAGGGGUCUUGGGGCGGUCAUUUCCGCCGAGGCUGGGAUGUUACUGAGCCUGAUGAAGUUGAGGAAUUCACACAAACCAUCUAUGGAGGCCUUGGCCGCAAGUUGGAGAUCACAUACUUGGUGAUUCCAGAAGCAGUUGAGACCUAUGUUGAGGUCAGGUUGAACCUCAAAGACUUCAGUUCGAGAAGCCGCUCUGUGUAUGGCAGCGUCAAGGCAGUUGCCAUUGACUAUGGGAGCAAAAACGUCAAUCUCUUCAGUUUUGAACGAGGCAGUAGCUUGUCCCUGCCCUGUGGUUCUACGUGCAUUCUUCCACUGGGACCACCCGCGAUUGCAUUGCCUAAAGGUAGACAGUACAAACUCCACAUAGAGGUGGACCUAAGAGUAAUCACAACCUGUGACAGCCAAGAAGAGGACAAGAAUUUGAAAUUCUGUCUAGACUGCAGCCGUAGAAUUAGGAGUGAAGAACGUCUAGAGUUACCCCGUAGAAUUAGGACUCAAAAAAGAGAAUUCGAUGGUGAUCAAGUUGAAGUGAAGAGAAGCACGAAGGGUCCAAUAAACCAGACCAUCUACAUUCUACCAAGGAAGAGCAGCAGUGCUUCCAUCAGCGGCCAUCGAUGCUACCGUCCGCGUUCGGCGGUGCUACCUGCCGGAGUCAGCAUGCUACCAGCGGUGCUACUUGCCGGAGUUAGCAUGCUACCGACGAUGCUGCCGGCGUUGGUCGGCGAGGUCCCGUCGCACCUUUGUAGGUCGGGACGAUGGUGCAGCGGGCGGCGGUGCUCGGAGUUGGCUCGUUGCCGGCCAUGCAAGAGGAAGGUCGGGGGAGGCCCUCUUACAAGUCACAACCUCUUGAGCCUUGACCCUAGAAGGACCACAAAGUGA